CCUACGGGAGGCAGCAGUGGGGAAUUUUCCGCAAUGGGCGAAAGCCUGACGGAGCAACGCCGCGUGAGGGAUGAAGGCCUCUGGGCUGUAAACCUCUUUUAUCAAGGAAGAAGAUCUGACGGUACUUGAUGAAUAAGCCACGGCUAAUUCCGUGCCAGCAGCCGCGGUAAUACGGGAGUGGCAAGCGUUAUCCGGAAUUAUUGGGCGUAAAGCGUCCGCAGGCGGUCUUGUAAGUCUGUCGUUAAAGCGUGGAGCUCAACUCCAUUUCGGCGGUGGAAACUACAAGACUAGAGUGUGGUAGGGGCAGAGGGAAUUCCCGGUGUAGCGGUGAAAUGCGUAGAUAUCGGGAAGAACACCAGUGGCGAAGGCGCUCUGCUGGGCCAUAACUGACGCUCAUGGACGAAAGCUAGGGGAGCGAAAGGGAUUAGAUACCCCUGUAGUCCUAGCCGUAAACGAUGAACACUAGGUGUCGGGGGAAUCGACCCCCUCGGUGUCGUAGCUAACGCGUUAAGUGUUCCGCCUGGGGAGUACGCACGCAAGUGUGAAACUCAAAUGAAUUGA
rnacentral:rRNA from 1 species